GUUGCAUCUCUAUUCUGGGCACGCAUCGAAAAAAGUGCUCUGCUAAUGAAAUUGAUCCACUAAUAAUUAUUUCAAUCAAGAUCGAGCACGCUUAUCUCGAAAAAAAAGAGACAUGAGUAAUAAUAAUAUUGUGGAGAAGGCAAUCAAGAGUUUAGGAAAAGGAUUUGAUUUAACAUGUGAUUUUAGACUAAAGUAUUGUAAAGGAAAUGAAAGGCUUGUGUUACUAAAUGAAAAAUUGAAGAAAGAGUUGAUGGUGCCUGGUUUUGGAGCUUAUGAAAAUGUACCAAU
rnacentral:misc_RNA from 1 species